GCACACGUUGAAAGAGUUAUGAAAAUGUGAAACCCACGAGUUACGAUUGAAAAGCUAUUCAGCGCAUGCGUAAUACAUUGUGAUUGUUGGCUGGAAGUUGCUUACGUUUUAAGUUUUUUUAGGGUUUCUUAUCAAAAAAACACCAGCAAUAAUGACCAGAGGAAAUCAAAGAGACAAGGCUAGAGAAAAGAAUUUAAAAGGUGCUGGUAAAAACCUUAAGGCUUCUGAUCAAGCAGGAAAUAAAGGUUUAACCUUUGAGGAAAGGAAACAAAGAGAUGCCGAUAUUAUGAGGCAAAAACAGGAAAAAAAGCUUGCUGCUGCAGCUGAGGCUGCAGGUGCCUCGGGUGGAGCUGGCACUUCAAAGAAAAAGUAGAGAUAACCCUUUCUUUGGAUCAGUACAUUAGUGAAGUGCUGACAAUUUAACAUAAUUUGUGUACCUGUACAUCUGAUUGAGGGGUAUUGAGCUACCUACAAUGUUUCUCCUGACAUGUAUAGCAUAUUUCUGUAAAUAUCAUGUAAUUAUUUUAUAAAGCAUAUCAUUCAUCCUUCUUUUCUCUAUGUUUCAUCUCUUCUCCAGUCUCUUCUUAUACACCUAAUUGUACCUUUUUACAUAAUAAAUACUUUAGUUUUUGCUUUGAUUAAACAACUGGUGAUCUAAUGGACUCAUUUUAUCCAUCAUUAAUUAAAAAAUAUUGAACUCUCUUGUUUUAUUGUAAUUGUAUAGUGUAAAUAUGUAGAUUGUUGAUAUGGACCCAAAUUAUAACAAGAAUUGUUAAACAAAUUUAUGAUCUGAUUUUCGUGUGUAAUAAUUUCAGGGAACAUGCUAGAAAAGCCAUACUGUACUUUCUAUCGAUGAAUAAUUACAUUUGUUAAAAUAAAAUGUUUUAUUUAUGUGAAGGUUAUAUCCAAUACUUUAUUUAAAUGAAAAAAAGUGGUUUUAUUUGUAUCUUUACUCCUCAAUCAGUUAUUAAAAAAUAGUAUUAUCUCUA